AAAGUCGACAGCAAAAAGAAAAUUGUAAUUAAUAUCCAGGAACAGUUUCAGGAUACUGUGAAAAAAGUUCAAACUAAAGAUGAAAUCAUUUAACGCUGGAGGAAAGCAACAAGAAGUUAAUGAAUGGCUGUGACCAUCUAAAAGAGAAGAUGUAUCAGUAUGAAAAUGAGAAAACAGAGAAGCAGUUGUGAGACAACUUCAAUAAGAACUGGCAGAUACCCUAAAAAAGCAGUCCAUGUCAGAGGAAUCACUGAAGGUCAUGUCACGUUAUUGUGCUAACUUAGAAGAUGAGGCAUGGGAUUUAAAGAAGAAAUUACGUCAAAUCAUAAGUCAAUUGCAAGAAGCACAAGAACUACAUAUAGAAGCCAUGAAAUAUACUGAGAAGACACAGGAUCACAUGCAAAAGCUUGAACUUGAAAAUGCCAAGUUAAAAGUGAUGAAUAAAAAGCAAGUGGGCAUAAUUGAACAGCUUCAGAGAUAGAUGUUAAAUACAAGUGUG
rnacentral:lncRNA from 1 species